rnacentral:rRNA from 1 species
GGAUGCGAUCAUACCUACACUAACACACUGAAUCCCAUCAGAACUCCAAAAUUAAGCGUGCUUAGGCUAGAGUAGUACUAGGAGGGGUGACCCCCUUGGAAGUCCUCGAGUUGCAUCCC